ACUCCUACGGGAGGCAGCAGUGGGGAAUAUUGGACAAUGGGCGAAAGCCUGAUCCAGCCAUGCCGCGUGUGUGAAGAAGGUCUUCGGAUUGUAAAGCACUUUAAGUUGGGAGGAAGGGCAGUAAGUUAAUACCUUGCUGUUUGACG
rnacentral:rRNA from 1 species